AGAACAAGAAAAGCCCAUUCAGCUCGUCGAAUGCAGCAGGAAAGGAGACUUGAGUUACUGUGAAGAGGGAGACAGACUACAGGCCCAUCAUAAAGAGCAGCUCAAAGCACAGCCUCUACAGGGACAGAUGUUUCAGGAUUCAAGCUCAAGCAACAACAAUUUAUAUAAUGCUCUUCAUGCAAUAUAGAAUCUAGGAGGGCUGGACAGUGGUGUGAUUGGACCUCGGGCAAGUGAGAAGGAGAGGGAGAGAGGACCAGAGGUGCGGUUGAAGAGGUAGAUGUAAAGAAGCUGCUGGAAUGUGGCGAUAAAUAUCUCUCACAACACUGCAGGCAGCCAGCACUGGUUGAUCGGGCAGCUGAAAGCAAUAUUCGUGAAUUUCAGGAUCAAAACGAACAGUCUGCCCUCUAAAAACACUGAAUAUCCCUAAAUUAGACUGGAACGGUGUGCUUGAUCGUGGCAGAGGUGCCGAGGUGGAUGAAGAAACCAAGUGGGAGCAAUUGAAAAGUUAAUCGGAUGAAGCUAGUAAUAUUCGUGUGCCUGCAGAGGGCAAAGGGUAUGCACGUAGAAUGCUGACAGUACAGGUGGAACAUCUACAAUUAGUAUUUUAGAAAGUAAAAGAUUGUGAAGCCUCUCAAAGACCCGAAGGAUGGAAACUUAACAUUGGAACAAACUAGACAUGAAGGACACAACCAUGAGUUUGAACUUCGCUUUGGGAUUUGAAAUACUCUGGGGAAGUAACAAUAAAGAAAGAUCUGAAAUAAAGUAACAUUGGGGGGCCCGAAGACUCAACACGUAUAGAUUCAACAUGACAUUACACAUGAUGAACCUUGCUUAUCUUUCUUUUUAUGUAAAUAAGAUGCGAAUAGUUAACAGUCUAAUUAUGACUUUCUGUGUUGUUUGCUUAUUGAGCUUAUAAUAAUAAUGAUUUGGAUGGUAUUUUAAUAACG